GAUGGAACAAUGUAGGCAAGGGAAGUCGGGAAAAUUGAUCCGUAACUUCGGGAAAAGGAUUGGCUCUGAGGGCUGGGCACGGGGGUCCCAGUCCCGAACCAAUCGGCUAUCAGCGAACUGCUCGAGCUGCUCCCGCAGCGAGAGCGGGUCACCGUGUGCCGAUCGGGGGACGGACUGGGAAUGGUUCCUUCGGGGGCCUUCCCCGGGCGUCGAACAGCCAACUCAGAACUGGUACGGACAAGGGGAAUCCGACUGUUUAAUUAAAAUAAAGCAUUGCGAUGGUCCCUACGGAUGUUUACGCAAUGUGAUUUUUGCCCAGUGCUCUGAAUGUCAAAGUGAAGAAAUUCAACCAAGCGCGGGUAAACGACAGGAGUAACUAUGACUCUCUUAAGGUAGCCAAAUAUCUCGUCAUCUAAUUAGUGAAGCGCAUGAAUGGAUUAACGAUAUUCCCAUGUCCCUGUCUACUAUCCAGCGAAACCACAACCAAGGGAACGGGCUUGGCAGAAUCAGCGGGGAAAGAAGACCCUGUUGAGCUCGACUCUAGUCCGACUUUGUGAAUUGACUUGAGAGGCGUAGUAUAAGUGGGAGCCGAAAGGAGAAAGUGAAAUACCACUACUUUUAACGUUAUUUUACUUAUUCCGUGAAUCGGAAGCGGGGUACUGCCCCUCUUUUUGGACCCAAGGCUUGCUUGCAGGCCGAUCCGGGCGGAAGACAUUGUCAGGUGGGGAGUUUGGCUGGGGCAGCACAUCUGUUAAAAGAUAACGCAGGUGUCCUAAGAUAAGCUCAACGAGAACAGAAAUCUCGUGUGGAACAAAAGUGAAAAAGCUCGCUUGAUUCUGAGUUCCAGUACGAAUAUGAACCGUGAAAGCGUGGCCAAACGAUCCUUUAGAUCUUUAGAAUUUAAAGCUAGAGGUGUCAAAAAAGUUACCACAGGGAUAAUUGGCUUGUGGCAGCCAAGCUUCAUAGCGACGUGGCUUUUUUAUCCUUCGAUGUUGGCUCUUCCUAUCAUUAGGGAACGUGAGCUGGGUUUAGACCGUCGUGAGACAGGUUAGUUUUACCCUACCGAUGACAAUGUCGCAAUAGUAAUUCAACCUAGUACGAGAGGAACCGUUGAUUCGCAUCAUUGGUCAUCACGCUUGGUUGAAAAGCCAGUGGCGCGAAGCUACCGUGCGCUGGAUUAUGACUGAACGCCUCUAAGUCAGAAUCCGGGCUAGAAGCGAUGCAUGCGCCCGCCGUUCACUUGACGACCCGCAGUAGGUGCCUCUAGCCGCCGAGGGCACGUGUCGUCGGCUAAGUCGUCGCGGCGGAAGAGCCGCGGUAGCCGCCUUGAAGUACAAUUUCCAUCGAGUGGCGGGUAGAAUCCUUUGCAGAUGACUUAAAUAUGCGACAGGGUAUUGUAAGUGGCAGAGUGGUCUUGCUGCCACGAUCCACUGAGAUUCAGCCCUUUGUCGCUUCGAUUG
rnacentral:ncRNA from 1 species